AGAGUUUGAUCCUGGCUCAGGAUGAACGCUAGCGGCAGGCCUAAUACAUGCAAGUCGAGGGGCAGCAGUACUUUUCGGAGUAGCUGGCGACCGGCGCACGGGUGCGUAACGCGUAUGCAAUCUACCCACAGCAGAGGGAUAGCCCGUGGAAACAUGGAUUAAUACCUCAUAAUACAGGGGGCCCACCUGGGCAUAUUGUUAAAGUUUCGACGGCCGUGGAUGAGCAUGCGUCCCAUUAGCUAGUUGGUGCGGUAAAGGCGCACCAAGGCGAUGAUGGGUAGGGGUUCUGAGAGGAUGAUCCCCCACACUGGUACUGAGACACGGACCAGACUCCUACGGGAGGCAGCAGUAGGGAAUAUUGGUCAAUGGACGGAAGUCUGAACCAGCCAUGCCGCGUGCAGGAAGACGGCCUUCUGGGUUGUAAACUGCUUUUAUCAGGGAAGAAAGUGCCCUUGCGAGGGAACUUGCCGGUACCUGAAGAAUAAGCACCGGCUAACUCCGUGCCAGCAGCCGCGGUAAUACGGAGGGUGCGAGCGUUGUCCGGAUUUAUUGGGUUUAAAGGGUGCGUAGGCGGCUUAGUAAGUCAGUGGUGAAAGGUAUCAGCUUAACUGAUGACGUGCCAUUGAAACUACUGGGCUU
rnacentral:rRNA from 1 species